UACAGAGGGUGCAAGCGUUGUUCGGAAUUACUGGGCGUAAAGGGCGUGCAGGCGGUUUGUUAAGUUCAGGGUGAAAGCUCCCGGCUCAACUGGGAGAGGUCCUUGGAUACUGGCAGACUUGAGGAGGGUAGAGGAGAGUGGAAUUCCCGGUGUAGUGGUGAUAUGCGUAGAUAUCGGGAGGAACACCAGUGGCGAAGGCGGCUCUCUGGGCCCUACCUGACGCUGAGACGCGAAAGCGUGGGGAGCGAACCGG
rnacentral:rRNA from 1 species